UGUAUGUAUGUAUGUAUGUUUUUAAUGAAAAUGAAUGAAGCCACAUCAAGUCCUUGGCACAUCUAUUUAGUAGAUCUUUAGAAUAUUUCUCCUAUUUAUAAUCUUUGACAUCCUUGUCACUGCCCCUCUACAUGUUUCACCAUCCACAGAUAGCAUUUGCUUUUUUCCAUAUGCCAUUGAAAAAACGCCAAUAAGUAGCUAUAAGAUAAGAUAUCACACAAGAUUAAAAACUAUGCCCGUCUUCCCAGUUAAGACUGCAUUUGUCUGAGCGCACAGUCCGGCAGUGAAUGGGUUAGUUUCGGAUUACAAUAGACUGUAGAGAAUUUCGAGAAACAUGCUCUCCAGCCAUCUUUGCCUCGGGACGACGGUUUUAAUUUGGAGUUCGAGCAGUGUAGUUUCUUGUAGCUGUACAUUAAAACCCGACUAAACUGGCGAGUAGCCUAAUCUAGCCUAAUUAUUGACAGUUUUACUCGAGAGCACAAAGGCGCACAAAGUUGGGUUCGUGGGAGCGAAGUGAAAACACUGUAAACCUCUGCUUGCGAGACGAGGAGAAAGAGAAGCUUCCUCUGUAGACGCCUCUACGAAUGACAGCCGUUGCUGAAGAAGAAAACAUCUUACAUGAAAGAAAAAUAAAUUUUUACUUACCAGACAUAUUGGUCUGAAAAGGAGGAAAUCUCUGGCAGAGCUACAGUAAAAUACCCCAACUUCAGUUCUUUGCUCUGUUAUAUGGGCAAGAACGAAUUAUUCACAAAAGUCUUAAAAAGUCUCAAUAAAGUAACCUCAAAACAC